AAGCUAUGAUAUCGAUGUGUAAUAAUACAGAAAAUUUAUAAAGGGAUUUGCAGUGGUACAGACAAGACACCUUUAGCUACAUAAGAGAAAUUGCACAAGAUGAAGAUGAAAUCGUUUUUAGUAACAUGUAUUGUUAUUGUUGUCUUGCUGAUCGAGUUACCUCAAGGACAAGCCUUCUUAAGAACGAGGACUUCCAAAAAAAGAACAACCUCGAAGCCACCAAACGGCAAACGAGACAUGGCUGCUAGACGACAAGUAAUGACUACUAAGGAAAAAAUAUGUGAGGCUGCACGACAGCUUAACUGCGUACCUUGACGGAACCCUCUUAGAUUUGGUUAAACACCGGCUUAGAAUAAGAAGUAUACAAUGUUCUUACAUAUACGCUUUUAUUAUAAAUGACCGCAUGUAUAUUAGAAACAUGCCAAUCUUAGACUGGAUAAGACAUAUAAAGCAAAUAAUUUGUAAAAACUACAUUGAAUACUUUACAUCUGUAUUUUGAACUGAAAUUGUUGUAACAUUUAAAAUUUAAAUAAAAUGUAAACUAGAUUAAAAUGAAAAAGAACGAGUCCAUAAAGGGCUACUUUGCAUUGGCA